rnacentral:rRNA from 1 species
GACGAACGCUGGCGGCGUGCUUAACACAUGCAAGUCGAACGGUGAAGGGGUCUGCUUUUGUGGGCCCUGGUUGAGUGGCGAACGGGUGAGUAACACGUGAGUAACCUGCCCCCUUCUUCUGGAUAACCGCAGGAAAGUGUGGCUAAUACGGGAUAAUCUGGGUCUGUCGCAUGAUGGGUCUGGGAAAGAUUGCGCCUUUGGGUGGUUUCGGUGGGGGAUGGGCUCGCGGGCUAUGGGCUUGCUGGUGGGGUGAUGGCCCAGCAAGGCGGUGACGGGUAGCCGACAGGAGGGUGUGCCCGGUCACACUGGGACUGAGGCACAGCCCAGACUGGUAGGGGGGGGAGGAGUGGGGUAUACUGCACGAUGAGCGCAAGCCUGAUGAAGCGGCGCCGCGUGAGAGAGCGUGGCCGUCGGGUUGUAAACCUCUUUCGACAGUGAAGCAGGCCUGCUACUUGUCGGUGGGUUGACGGUAGCUGGAGAAGAAGCGCCGGCUAACUACGUG